AUCUAAUCAGCAACGGGACUGUAGGACCUCUUAGCCAAUCAGUGAACAGUUUCAGUGGGGAAGGCCAAGGAAGUCAGCAUUCAGGACGACAUCCUCCACCCCUCAGUGCACCCAAAGGGCUAGCAUAGAGAGUCUUCCCUGCGCUCCAGGACUUGGACUGUAAUCACAGAAGCUUCUCACGCGUGCCUAACCACCAUGAAUCUUUCUCUUUGACUGUCAGGCUGGCACUCAAACCCCCACAAUGGAAGUUAUGAAAGUCAUGCUCAAAAUCAUGUUCGGGAAAGAUGCUGGAGGUGUCUGUGACGAAGGUGAAGAAUUCCUACAUUGAGUUCAAAACAAGCAAAGAAAAUAAGGAAACAG
ensembl:lncRNA